CGCCUUCAUCUCGGACGGCACAGCAUGCUAGUCGAGCGCCUUCAGCCAAACGAGGCGCGGCAUACAGCUCAGUAACACGUGGCUAAUCUGCCCUUGGGACAAAAACAACCCCGGGAAACCGGGGCUAAUUUUUUGACAGAUGAAGAACUCUGGAAUGAGUCUUCGUUUAAAAGACUUCACGUUAUGCUCGUGAUGUUGCCCAAGGAUGAGGCCGCGACCGAUCAGGUUGUUGGUGAGGUAAUGGCUCACCAAGCCUUUUACCGGUGCGGGCCGUGAGAGCGGGAGCCCGGAGAUGGGCACUGAGACAAGGGCCCAGGCCCUACGGGGCGCAGCAGUCGCGAAAACUUUGCAAUACACGAAAGUGUGACAGGGCUAUCCCGAGUGCCUUCCGCUGAGGAGGGCUUUUACCUAGUAUAGAUCGCUAGGGGAAUAAGGAGAGGGCAAGUCUGGUGUCAGCCGCCGCGGUAAUACCAGCUCUCCGAGUGGUAUGGAUGUUUAUUGGGCCUAAAGCAUCCGUAGCUGGCUAAGUUAGUCCCUUGUUAAAACCACCGAAUUAAUCGGUGGAUUGCGGGGGAUACUGCUUGGCUAGGGGACGAGAGAGGCAGACGGUAUUUUCGGGGUAGGGGUGAAAUCCUAUAAUCCCGGGAAGACCACCAGUGGCGAAGGCUGUCUGCUAGAACGCGCCCGACGGUGAGGGAUGAAAGCUGGGGGAGCGAACCGGAUUAGAUACCCGGGUAGUCCCAGCCGUAAACGAUGCAGGCUAGGUGUUUGGACGGCCACGUGCCGUUCUAGUGCCGCAGGGAAACUGUUAAGCCUGCCGCCUGGGGAGUACGAUCGCCAGAUUGAAACUCCAAGGAAUUGACG
rnacentral:rRNA from 1 species